rnacentral:rRNA from 1 species
UACGAAGGGGGCUAGCGUUGCUCGGAAUCACUGGGCGUAAAGCGCACGUAGGCGGCUUCUUAAGUCAGGGGUGAAAUCCUGGAGCUCAACUCCAGAACUGCCUUUGAUACUGAGAAGCUUGAGUCCGGGAGAGGUGAGUGGAACUGGCGAGUGUAGAGGUGAAAUUCGUAGAUAUUCGCAAGAACACCAGUGGCGAAGGCGGACUCACUGGCCCGGUACUGACGCUGAGGUGCGAAAGCG